CAGUCGCCGCGGUAAUACGAAGGGUGCAAGCGUUACUCGGAAUUACUGGGCGUAAAGCGUGCGUAGGUGGUGGUUUAAGUCCGUUGUGAAAGCCCUGGGCUCAACCUGGGAAUUGCAGUGGAUACUGGGUCACUAGAGUGUGGUAGAGGAUAGUGGAAUUUCCGGUGUAGCAGUGAAAUGCGUAGAGAUCGGAAGAAACAUCUGUGGCGAAGGCGACUAUCUGGGCCAACACUGACACUGAGGCACGAAAGCGUGGGGAGCAAACAGGAUUAGAUACCCGCGUAGUCCCUGUCUCUUAUAC
rnacentral:rRNA from 1 species